rnacentral:rRNA from 1 species
GAUGAACGCUGGCGGCGUGCCUAAUACAUGCAAGUCGAGCGAACAGACGAGGAGCUUGCUCCUCUGACGUUAGCGGCGGACGGGUGAGUAACACGUGGAUAACCUACCUAUAAGACUGGGAUAACUUCGGGAAACCGGAGCUAAUACCGGAUAAUAUAUUGAACCGCAUGGUUCAAUAGUGAAAGACGGUUUUGCUGUCACUUAUAGAUGGAUCCGCGCCGCAUUAGCUAGUUGGUAAGGUAACGGCUUACCAAGGCAACGAUGCGUAGCCGACCUGAGAGGGUGAUCGGCCACACUGGAACUGAGACAUGGUCCAGACUCCUACGGGAGGCAGCAGUAGGGAAUCUUCCGCAAUGGGCGAAAGCCUGACGGAGUAACGCCGCGUGAGUGAUGAAGGUCUUCGGAUCGUAAAACUCUGUUAUUAGGGAAGAACAAAUGUGUAAGUAACUAUGCACGUCUUGACGGUACCUAAUCAGAAAGCCACGGCUAACUACGUG